rnacentral:rRNA from 1 species
UACGUAGGGUGCGAGCGUUGUCCGGAAUUAUUGGGCGUAAAGAGCUCGUAGGCGGUCUGUUGCGUCCGCUGUGAAAACUCGGGGCUUAACCCCGAGCCUGCAGUGGAUACGGGCAGACUAGAGGUAGGUAGGGGAGAAUGGAAUUCCCGGUGUAGCGGUGAAAUGCGCAGAUAUCGGGAGGAACACCUAUGGCGAAGGCAGCUCGCUGGGACGGUACUGACGCUGAGGCGCGAAAGCGUGGGGAGCGAACAGG